rnacentral:rRNA from 1 species
AGUGAACGCUGGCGGUAGGCCUAACACAUGCAAGCCGAACGGCAGCACAGUAAGAGCUUGCUCUUACGGGUGGCGAAUGGCGGACGGGAGAGGAAUACAUCGGAAUCUACUUUUUCGUGGGGGAUAACGUAGGGAAACUUACGCUCAUACAGCAUACGACCUACGGGUGAAAGCAGUGGAUCUUCGCACCUUGCGCGAUUGAAUGAGCCGAUGUCGGAUUAGCUAGUUGGCGGGGUAAAGGCCCACCAAGGCGACGAUCCGUAGCUGGUCUGAGAGGAUGAUCAGCCACACUGGAACUGAGACACGGUCCAGACUCCUACGGGAGGCAGCAGUGGGGAAUAUUGGACAAUGGGCGCAAGCCUGAUCCAGCCAUACCGCGUGGGUGAAGAAGGCCUUCGGGUUGUAAAGCCCUUUUGUUGGGUAAGAAAAGCAGCAGGUUAAUACCCCGCUGUUCUGACGGUACCCAAAGAAUAAGCACCGGCUAACUUCGUG